rnacentral:lncRNA from 1 species
UCCAACCCAACCUUUUUCAGUCGGUCGUUUAUUGCGAAAAAUAAUUUUAAGUUUUGAUGUGAAAAUAAUUUUGAUUGUGAAAUGGUUUUGGAAUAACUUUCAAUCGAUGGUGAAAACGGUUGAAAAAUGAAAGAUGUGAGGUCAAACGCAAAGUAGCGAGUUCUAGCGCAAGGCAUGACUUUAUAUCACACAUCGUACGAAAUAAAAUACCGCAUACGCAAAAAAAAUGAUAGGGAAACAAUGUGCAUAUAACAAUUAUGAAUAACACAU